rnacentral:rRNA from 1 species
UACGUAGGGUGCAAGCGUUGUCCGGAAUUAUUGGGCGUAAAGAGCUCGUAGGCGGCCUGUCGCGUCGGCUGUGAAAACCUGGGGCUCAACCCCGGGCCUGCAGCCGAUACGGGCAAACUAGAAUUCGGUAGGGGAGACUGGAAUUCCUGGUGUAGCGGUGAAAUGCGCAGAUAUCAGGAGGAACACCGGUGGCGAAGGCGGGUCUCUGGGCCGAUAUUGACGCUGAGGAGCGAAAGCGUGGGGAGCGAACAGG